rnacentral:rRNA from 1 species
GACGAACGCUGGCGGCGUGCCUAAUACAUGCAAGUUGAGCGCUGAAGGUUGGUACUUGUACCGACUGGAUGAGCAGCGAACGGGUGAGUAACGCGUGGGGAAUCUGCCUUUGAGCGGGGGACAACAUUUGGAAACGAAUGCUAAUACCGCAUAAAAACUUUAAACACAAGUUUUAAGUUUGAAAGAUGCAAUUGCAUCACUCAAAGAUGAUCCCGCGUUGUAUUAGCUAGUUGGUGAGGUAAAGGCUCACCAAGGCGAUGAUACAUAGCCGACCUGAGAGGGUGAUCGGCCACAUUGGGACUGAGACACGGCCCAAACUCCUACGGGAGGCAGCAGUAGGGAAUCUUCGGCAAUGGACGAAAGUCUGACCGAGCAACGCCGCGUGAGUGAAGAAGGUUUUCGGAUCGUAAAACUCUGUUGGUAGAGAAGAACGUUGGUGAGAGUGGAAAGCUCAUCAAGUGACGGUAACUACCCAGAAAGGGACGGC